CCUACGGGUGGCUGCAGUGAGGAAUAUUGGUCAAUGGACGCAAGUCUGAACCAGCCAUGCCGCGUGCAGGAAGACGGCUCUAUGAGUUGUAAACUGCUUUUGUACGAGGGUAAACUCCGAUACGCGUACCUCUCUGCAAGUAUCUUACGAAUAAGGAUCGGCUAACUCCGUGCCAACAGCCGCGGUAAUACGGAGGAUUCAAGCGUUAUCCGGAUUUAUUGGGUUUAAAGGGUGCGUAGGCGGGGGGAUAAGUUAGAGGUGAAAGCCCGAGGCUCAACUUCGGAAUUGCCGCUGAUACUGUUAGGCUAGAGAGUAGUAGCGGUAGGCGGAAUGUAUGAUGUAGCGGUGAAAUGCUUAGAGAUCAUACAGAACACCGAUUGCGAAGGCAGCUUACCAAGCUACAUCUGACGUUGAGGCACGAAAGCGUGGGGAGCAAACAGGAUUAGAUACCCUUGUAGUC
rnacentral:rRNA from 1 species